AGUUCCCAUCCAGCUUUGUCUUUCUAUGAUUCAUGAUGAAGCAAUUCCCAUAGGCUCGCAUAGAAAUAAAUUCCUAUAAAAAUGGACUUUAGAAACUGAGAACUUUGGGGUCUGAUUGUGCAAACCAACUUCCAAGAGCAUCAGAUUAGCAUCUGACAAGGCCCUGCUCCCUCCUCGUGUCCAGGCCACCUGGCCAGUGGCUUGGCACGAGCAACUCUAAGGCUGGUAACUAUGAUAACAACCUUGCAGAACCUGUGUGUGUGUGUGUG